GCAUAGCUAGCUGUAUAGCUUGUGCUUGCACUAUUCACAAUGCAGCUUUGCCUAGACAGGAGCUAUACGUACUGAAUCUCGGUGUUUUCUAGAUCUUCAAAAUCAUGCUGAAUACAGAGUUUUCCAAUUCCUGCUAAUCUACAACAGUAUGGAUAUAAAGCCUACGCAACAUGACAAAUGAGUAGUUUCCAUAUCGACGUCGUUCUUUAUAAUCAUCUUGACCAAAACAUCACCAUGUCUUCGUCGUCGACCUGAGCCAUUUUGGGGUUUGAACUUUGAAGUUUGUUGCAAACUCUAAUAAUGAAUUGGAUAUUGGCAUUAUCGACUUAUGUUCUGUCUUUGAACACCGUCGACGUCGAUCUUGAAGAAUGCAGCCUUACCCACCUAAUAAGUCAUUGAGAGGUCCGUAGCCAGUGAGCUCUAGCCUGAGGGCCACGUAUACACCAUGGGCUGUCUUGGGAUAGAUACGAAAGAAUCGGCAUUCGAUCGGCGUAAAGAUGGUUCCUCCAUGUUGACAGGGGCUCGAUAAACACGCUGAAAUUGGACCACACAAUAUGCAUGUAACGAUUUAGAAACCAGACGCCAUUAAUUGACAAUUUGAAACUGCACUUAAAUACUUGUAACUUUAACACAUUGUUCAGAGUAAGUUUUCAUGUUUACAUUUCUUAUGAAAACAUAAAUAAGGUUAAGCGAGAAUGGCAAGAGACCAGUUUAUUGAAAAUUAAUUGUUUGAUUACAAAUGAUAUUUGGAAUAACUCUACAUUACUAAAUACAAAAGUGAAAGCACAACAGCUCUUAUUUGAUUUUAAAGAUACACAAUUAAAGAAAGCAUUUCCACAGUGUUGGUUGGAUAGAUUAAGCUAUGAUUUCGAACAAGAAUGUGAUAUUUCGAAUAUUAUA